AUAAGAAGUCACAUAGAUUGUAAUUUUUUAAGCCAUUUUAAUAUAUCUGUAGUGGUAUCUACAUUUUGUUGUUAAUUUUCAUUUCCUUAGUGACUUGUGAUGUUGAGCAGCUUUUCAGGUGGUAUUUGUAGUCUGUCUCUUUUUCUGUUGGUGAAACAUUUGAUCAAAUCUUUGCUUAUUUUCAAAUUCAGGCUCCCCAGCUGAGUUUUACUCAUUUGUGUGUGUGCAUUUAGAUUGAUGUGAUUUUAUUCUGUGAGUAGGUUCAUAUAGCCACCAGCACAGUCAAGAUAAAAAACAGUUCCAGGUCCAUAAGGAUCCCUCCGGUUGUCCAUUAUGACAACAUCCACCUCCUCCCUCUGAGGUGCCAUUUGCUGCACCUAACACCUGGCACCCACUAAUUGAUUCUCCAUUUGUAAAGUUUUGUCUUUUCAGAAAUGAUAUACAUAAAUAAACAGUAGAGUCCUACAGUAUGUAGCCUUUUGGAAUUGACAUUUUUCACUCUGCAUAAUCUCUUGUAUGUUCAUCAAUAUCAUUGUGUGCAUUAAGAGUACAGUCCUUUUCAUUGCUGAGUAGUAUUCCAUGGUCAUGGUGUACCAAAGUCUGCUUUUUCAUCCACCCAGUGAAGGACAUCAGAAUUGUUCUGUCUUUAAGGCUAUUGUGCAUAAGAGUGUAACAUCUAUGCAUAGUUCCUCUGUGAACAUAAGUUUUCACUUUUUUGAAAUAAAUGCCCUAGGGUAUCAUUCCUGGUUGUAUGGGAACCACAAGUUUACUUAUUUAAGAAGCUGCCAUACUCUUUACCAGAGUUGCUGCACCAUUUCACAUUUCAUCAGCCAAGCAGCAGUGAUCCAGUUUCUCCACAUCCUUGCAGCAUUUAGUGUUGUCACUAUCUUUCAUACCACAAAUUCUGAUAGGAUGGUAGGGAUGUCUCCAUGUGGUUUUUAUGUGCAUUUCUCUCUGGGCUUAUAAGGAACAUCUUUCCAUGUGCUCUGUGCCAUCUCUAUAUCUUCUUCCAUGAACUAUUUGUUUUUGUUUAUUGCUCGUUUUCUGAGUGGAUGUUAUCUUUACUGUUUAGAUUUGAGAGUUUUUGUAUAAUCUAUACGCUAGUUGUUCGCUGGAUAUGUGGUUUGCAAAUAUUUUCUCUCUGUUACUUGGGUUUUUUCAAUCUUCUUUAGAAAGUUUUACAAAGCAAAAGAUAAUUUUGACAAGGUUCAGUAUAUUAUUCUCCUUUUACGAAUCAUGCUGCUGGAGUAAUCAAAGAAUUCUUGCCUAACCCUAGAUCCCAAGGAUUUCUCCUACAUUUUUUUCUAAAACAAAAAAAAAAAGGGAUUUCCUGAGAGGUACAUGAGCAAUUUCCCUGUAUCUGAUCAUGAAUUCUGGCCUCUCAUACAACAGCGUAACCACAGUCCCUACAAGCUCCUGAUUCAAGCACGGUCCAGCCCAACUGCGUGGGUGGCCCAUCACUAGAGCAGGACUGAGAGGAAGCCCAGGGCACAGACUGAGGUGUGUGAGUAUGUGCUGGGGCAGGGGUCAGCACUUUCUCACUCAACACCAGAAGGAGCUCUGAGUGCUCAGAGACAGGCCUUGGGAACAGGACCCACUUUCACAGCCUGCUUUAAGCUCAGCCAUUUUCUCCUUAGCAGGAAGGCACCCAACAAGCCCACAAAAAGGAAGGAAGUAGAUUUGCAUUUCUUCAGAGAAUAAGAGAGGCUCUGAGGCACGUCCCCAGCUGUGGUCUCAGAGGCAGAGCUCUGGGGCAUCUCCACCAUGGCCUGGACCCCUCUCCUGCUCCUCCUCCUCACUCUCUGCACAGGCUCUGUGGCUUCUUCUAUGCUGACUCAGCCACUUACCUUGUCCGUGGCCUUUGGAAGCACAGUCACUAUCACAUGCCAGGGAGAGCUCCUAGACAGUUAUUAUGCUGAGUGGUACCAGCAGAAGCCAGACCAGGCUCCCGUGCUGGUCAUAUAUUAUGGAAGCAAACGUCCUUCGGGGAUUUCUACCCGAUUCUCUGGCUCCUACUCAAGCAAGAUGGCCACCCUGACCCUCAGUGGGGCCUUGGCCGAGGAUGAGGCUGACUAUUACUGUCAGGUGUGGGACAGCAGUGGUAACCAGCCCACAGUGACACAGGCUGAUGGGGAAGUGAGACACAAACCCCUUUCCCAUCUGUCUCAGACUCUCCUCCAGCCCCAAGAAGACUGUAGACAAAGCCAUGAGCAGGUCUGUUCCAGGUCCUCAGAUCUGAGAUCCCCAGGCUCCGUCUCCUCUCAACCCUCCAGGCAGGCUCUGCAGAGGGUGGGUCAGCACAGGACACAAAAACAGCUGUUAUGACAACAGCUCAUUUGUUAGAGUGGGCAGACAAAAGAUUGAACAUGUUAGGAGCAGAUAUGGAAGACAUUCUAAAAUCACCAAUUAAAUUUCUUGGAGAUGAAAAUGACAUGGUGUGUGAUUUAAAAAUACACUGGGUGAGACUGAUAUCAGAUUAGAUCCUGAAAAUAAGAGAUUUUUUUAACUUGAUAUCAUGGUAAUAGAAACCAUUCAAAAUAAAACCAAAAGAAAAAGGUUGAAAAAAUGAAUAAAGCCUCAGUGAGUUGUAGGAAAACUUCAGCAGCCUAAGUAGUGUGUACUUGGAGGAACUGAGGGAGAGAGGAAGGGAAGCGGCUG